AAACAAUAGCAUUUAAAUGCGUGUCGGUUUCGGCCCGAUAAGAGCGAUCGCAUCGCAUUGUUUU
rnacentral:tRNA from 1 species